GGCAUUGCCUUAGUAGCGGCGAGUGAAGCGGCAAAAGCUCAAAUUUGAAAUCUGGCGCCUUCGGUGUCCGAGUUGUAAUUUGAAGAUUGUAACCUUGGGGUUGGCUCUUGUCUAUGUUUCUUGGAACAGGACGUCACAGAGGGUGAGAAUCCCGUGCGAUGAGAUGCCCAAUUCUAUGUAAGGUGCUUUCGAAGAGUCGAGUUGUUUGGGAAUGCAGCUCUAAGUGGGUGGUAAAUUCCAUCUAAAGCUAAAUAUUGGCGAGAGACCGAUAGCGAACAAGUACAGUGAUGGAAAGAUGAAAAGAACUUUGAAAAGAGAGUGAAAAAGUACGUGAAAUUGUUGAAAGGGAAGGGUUUGAGAUCAGACUCGAUAUUUUGUGAGCCUUGCCUUCGUGGCGGGGUGACCCGCAGCUUAUCGGGCCAGCAUCGGUUUGGGCGGUAGGAUAAUGGCGUAGGAAUGUGACUUUACUUCGGUGAAGUGUUAUAGCCUGCGUUGAUGCUGCCUGCCUAGACCGAGGACUGCGAU
rnacentral:rRNA from 1 species